rnacentral:rRNA from 1 species
UACGUAGGGUGCGAGCGUUAAUCGGAUUUACUGGGCGUAAAGGGCGCGUAGGCGGUUUGUCAAGUCAGGCGUGAAAGCCCCGGGCUCAACCUGGGAACUGCGCUUGAGACUGGCAGGCUCGAGUUCGGGAGAGGAUGGUGGAAUUCCCAGUGUAGAGGUGAAAUUCGUAGAUAUUGGGAAGAACACCGAUGGCGAAGGCAGCCAUCUGGACCGACACUGACGCUGAGGCGCGAAAGCGUGGGGAGCAAACAGG